ensembl:snoRNA
UCGGCUCAGAUCAAAAGCAGCAGCUUGCAGUAGCUGUUAGUUUUCUCUAAAAGGAGCCCAAAAUAAAACCUUCCCAUGGUCUGUUGAUUUUCCCCAGAUUUACAGGGACUAAAUCAAUUCAGUUGGAAGGAACAAUC